UACGAAGGGGGCUAGCGUUGCUCGGAAUUACUGGGCGUAAAGCGCACGUAGGCGGCUUUCUAAGUCGGGGGUGAAAUCCUGGAGCUCAACUCCAGAACUGCCUUCGAUACUGGAGAGCUCGAGUUCGGGAGAGGUGAGUGGAACUGCGAGUGUAGAGGUGAAAUUCGUAGAUAUUCGCAAGAACACCAGUGGCGAAGGCGGCUCACUGGCCCGAUACUGACGCUGAGGUGCGAAAGCGUGGGGAGCAAACAGG
rnacentral:rRNA from 1 species